rnacentral:rRNA from 1 species
GAUGAACGCUGGCGGCGUGCCUAAUACAUGCAAGUCGAGCGAACGGACGAGAAGCUUGCUUCUCUGAUGUUAGCGGCGGACGGGUGAGUAACACGUGGAUAACCUACCUAUAAGACUGGGAUAACUUCGGGAAACCGGAGCUAAUACCGGAUGAUAUUUUGAACCGCAUGGUUCAAAAGUGAAAGACGGUCUUGCUGUCACUUAUAGAUGGAUCCGCGCUGCAUUAGCUAGUUGGUAAGGUAACGGCUUACCAAGGCAACGAUGCAUAGCCGACCUGAGAGGGUGAUCGGCCACACUGGAACUGAGAACCGGCCCAGACUCCUACGGGAGGCAGCAGUAGGGAAUCUUCCGCAAUGGGCGAAAGCCUGACGGAGCAACGCCGCGUGAGUGAUGAAGGUCUUCGGAUCGUAAAACUCUGUUAUUAGGGAAGAACAUAUGUGUAAGUAACUGUGCACAUCUUGACGGUACCUAAUCAGAAAGCCACGGCUAACUACGUG